GUGCUGAAAGCAUCUAAGCACGAAACUUGCCCCGAGAUGAGUUCUCCCUGAGACUUUAGGUCUCCUGAAGGAACGUUGAAGACGACGACGUUGAUAGGCCGGGUGUGUAAGCGCAGCGAUGCGUUGAGCUAACCGGUACUAAUGAACCGUGAGGCUUAACCUU
rnacentral:rRNA from 1 species